CUUAAACACACUCCUACGAAGCCAGCAUGUAUACCUGACAAUCACACAAGUGUCUUGUAUACCAGUGAAACUACUGAUGCCAGCUGGUCUAGAGGAAUCCAAGAGAAGCUGAUUCACCAAAGAAGGCUGUUUCCAGAUCAUGAUGAUUUCAUCCAUCCUACCUUGACCAAUCAAUGAUCCCAAUUUUCCAGUUACUUGCCCUCUACAAUCCCCUUAAAAGUCCCAGCCCAGAACUUCUCAGGGAGAUGGAUUUGAGGGUCCCUCCCAACUCCUUGCUUGGUUACCCUGUGAUCAUUAAACUCUUUCUCUGCUGCAAACCCUGU
rnacentral:lncRNA from 1 species